rnacentral:rRNA from 1 species
GUCUUUUUGAUUAUAAUUUAAAGUCUAAUCUGCCCACUGAAUUAAUUUAAAGGGCUGCAGUAUUUUGACUGUACAAAGGUAGCAUAAUCAUUAGUCUUUUAAUUGAAGACUUGUAUGAAUGAUUUGAUGAAAUAUAAACUGUCUCUUUAUUAUUAGUAGAAUUUAAUUUUUUAGUUAAAAAGCUAAAAUUUUUUUAAAAGACGAGAAGACCCUAUAGAGUUUUAUUUUUGAGUUUUUAAAAAUAUUUUAUAAAAAUUAUAAUUUUUUAAAAAUUUAAAAAUUUUGUUGGGGUGAUGAAAAAAUUUAUUAAACUUUUUUUAAGAAAAAUAAAAACAUUAAUUUAUGAAUUUUUGAUCCAUAAUUUAUGAUUAUAAGAUUAAAUUACCUUAGGGAUAACAGCGUAAUUUUAUUUUUUAGUUCAAAUAAAAAUUAAAGUUUGCGACCUCGAUGUUGGAUUAAGAUAAAAUUUAAAUGCAAAAGUUUAAAGUUUUGAUCUGUUCGAUCAUUAAAAUCUU